rnacentral:rRNA from 1 species
GCUAACUCUGUGCCAGCAGCCGCGGUAAUACAGAGGGUGCGAGCGUUGUCCGGAAUCACUGGGCGUAAAGGGCGCGUAGGUGGCUUGGUAAGCGUGUGGUGAAAGUCCGGGGCUCAACCCCGGAUCUGCCGUGCGAACUGCUGAGCUUGAGCACUGUAGAGGCAGGUGGAAUUUCGGGUGUAGCGGUGGAAUGCGUAGAUAUCCGAAAGAACACCAGUGGCGAAGGCGGCCUGCUGGGCAGUAGCUGACACUGAGGCGCGACAGCGUGGGGAGCAAACAGGAUUAGAUACCCGGGUAGUC